GGAUAUACUUCAGUUGGUAGAAUGUUUGCCUCUCAUACUGAAGGCUCUGGGUUCAAUCCCCAGUACCA
rnacentral:tRNA from 1 species